CCCUCUAAAUAAACAUACACUGAAUGGGUUCUUUUACAUUUCUCUUUUGCAUCCUCCUCCUUUAAAUUUUAUCCAAUCAGACAAAUGCUAAUUUCCUGAAAUAUUUAUGAAUCAAUUCAGAAUCUGUGUCUCUGCACAACGUUAUGUGCACGGUUACAUGUCACUUCUUAAAAGCGGAUACGUUCAUAAAAACAUGCAUAGUUCUGCGCAUACUGUAUCAUAUUUGUUCUGCAAGGUUUAUAAAUCAAAAUGUGUUGUUACAGUUCAUCAAGCUGACAAUGGAAGACACCGCAACGUUUAACGUAUUCCUGUAACACACACACACCCUGUGGUGCGGUAUGACUGUUCAGAUGAAGAGCUCCCACGUUGCACUCCUCCCAAACCAAACCAACUUGUUCCACUACAUCGGCUACACACCAUGCGUGUGCGGUUAUGACGUUGUUCCGACAGAUUUUGCUCUGCUCCGUUAAAUACGGUUGGAGUGAAGACUGUGCAGGCUGACAAACAGACAGUGAGAGCUUUCUCUCUCAGGCUGUUGGGGUGUCAGCGGUCUUCCACUGAAUCUGUUGAUUUAGCUCUGGGGCUCAGGAGUCAGUGGUAGACUACGCCCGAAUAUGAGGUCAGAGAUGCUGGAAGUUUAGAUGCACAACACAGUUUUGUAAGCCUGCUGUUCAUCAGUCUUCUUUGCCGAACAUCUCACCCAAAGAGGGAUUUUUGGUGGUUUUUUUCCCUCUGACGGUUUUGCUGUGGAUGUUUUUGAUCAAUGGCCAAAUUGAGUGUGACGAUGAGACACACACACAUGAGACACACACACACACACACAUAAAAAAAAUGAAUCAUCUUUUUGAUGUGAGUACUGCUAUUUAUUUAAAGGUUAAUUUUAUUUUUGAUGUUGCUGUUGUGUCUUUCGUAUCAAUCAGAUUUUUAUCCAAUUGCCAUCGAAUGCCUCUCAUAUUUCAGCACUCCUGGGAAUAGAUUCUGCAUUGUCAGAGAUGUAUUGCCAGUACAUUCUAAACCAGAUACUGACUGUAGAAUUGUUACACAACAAAUGUGAACUACCCCUCAUCAAAAGGUCAAGAUAUCUUUUCAACUUAUUGAGAAACACCUUCUUUUAUGUUUGCAAUGAAAAGUCGACGGGACUAAAUUUGGAUCAGUAUUUCCCCCAUUGUCUAAGAACAGUUAAUCAAUGGUGAAAUAAAUUAGUUACAAAAAUUGGUUUUCAUUCCUAUUGGGUAAUUGCUUAAUUAUAAUAUAGAAAAUAACAUAUUUUCCUAAUUCAGAAUGAAUCACAUAGGCUGCUUGAAAUUAACCAUUGUAAUUAAUAAUCCUUAUAAUUGUAGCUAAAUUUAAAAGUACAAAUACUUGUGUAAAUACCAUGAAAGGUAUACAACAGGGUUAGAUUAGAAUAGUUGAUUAUGACGGUUUUCUUCCUGCUGAUUCACUUGUGCAGAAAUUUUAUUUGCUGCAGUGGAAAAAAUAAAUUUUAAAACAUGGUUUUGCAUGGGCUGUCUUUAUUUUUGUUUUCUUUUACCAUUUCUUUAACCAUUUUUUUAUGAAUAUUGUGUGCGUGC
ensembl:lncRNA